ACACAUAUUUUAUGAUUCAUCAAUCAUUCAAGGUGGAAAAUUGAUAUUCAAGGUAAGUGAACAAAUGUAUCUCUACUUCUUGUCAUUGUCCCGGUCACAUGGGACUUGAACUAUACUCUCCACUUUUUAAUGUAAAUGUAUCGCUAUAUUAAAAAAAUUUAUACAAUAAUUUUUGACAGAUAUUUGGAUCAUAUCUCAUUGAUUCAAUUUUUUUAUUUUUCCGGAGAUAUAUAUACAAAGAGACGAACUUUCUUGUUGAUGUCAUUAUUACAUUUUUUUGCUAGCGGAAAUUUGAUUUAGUUAAUUUCUGUUGUACUAAGAGCAAUUCCACCCCUAAGGACUUUGCGCCAGCACCCAGCGCAUUUAUCCACUCAAAUGAACAGUAACAGACUCCAAUGAACAGUAAUAGGCCAAGGCAUCUCGACCCUUAAAAAAAUGCGCUGGCACCUAGUGAAAAAAUGUGCUGGCACAAACGAUCUCCAUCCCUACAAAAUGCGCUGGCACCCAGCCCAUUUAAAAUAUUUUUAAAUUUUGUCUAAAAGAAUAAAAAAUAAAAUAGUUUUAAUUUCGGAUAGGAUUUUUAACCAAUCUCGUCACGCCACAUGUCAUUAUCUGAAUGUACUAUUUUGUGAAUAGAUUUCCGCUAAGAUUUUCAACUAAUCCCGACACGCCACGUGUCACUUC
rnacentral:lncRNA from 1 species